CGUCGGAAGGCUCGAAUUCAGGGCGAAACCUCUCCCCCGAGGCUCCCUCGGUGUGAAGCAGAUGGAUCCUGGAGCCCAUCCCAGGCUGUAACUCUUGUUCAGGAGCCAGACAGGAAAACUGCAGGCAAACCAGACCCACAUCUCCCAACCUGGACAUCUGCAUGCCAGCCUGGGAGUCACUCAGGUUACAUCACCCUGCAGACAGGAGCCUGUAGCCGGAGUUUUAAAAGGAAGAUGGAAAUGAGGUGAAGAAGGUGGGAGACAUUUUCAUAUGGAUGUGGGGAAGCAUUCAGCAGUGUCACGGAGUGAUCUAUGGCUAUUGCCGACACAGGCCAGGCA